rnacentral:rRNA from 1 species
AACGAACGCUGGCGGCAUGCCUAACACAUGCAAGUCGAACGAAGCCUUCGGGCUUAGUGGCGCACGGGGUCGCAACGCGUGGGAAUCUGCCCUUGGGUGCGGAAUAACAGUUAGAAAUGACAGCUAAUACCGGAUGAUGUCUUCGGACCAAAGAUUUAUCGCCCAAGGAUGAGCCCGCGUAGGAAUAGGUAGUUGGUGGGGGAAGGGCACACCAAGACGACGAUCCUUAGCUGGUCUGAGAGGAUGAUCAGCCACACUGGGACUGGGACACGGCCCAGACUCUUGCGGGAGGCGGCAGUGGGGAAUAUUGGACAAUGGGCGAAAGCCUGAUCCAGCAAUGCCGCGUGAGUGAUGAAGGCCUUAGGGUUGUAAAGCUCUUUUACCAGGGAUGAUAAUGACAGUACCUGGAGAAUAAGCUCCGGCUAACUCCGUGCCAGCCGCCGCCGUAA